GAUGAACGCUGGCGGCGUGCCUAAUACAUGCAAGUCGAGCGAACAGACGAGGAGCUUGCUCCUCUGACGUUAGCGGCGGACGGGUGAGUAACACGUGGAUAACCUACCUAUAAGACUGGGAUAACUUCGGGAAACCGGAGCUAAUACCGGAUAAUAUAUUGAACCGCAUGGUUCAAUAGUGAAAGACGGUUUUGCUGUCACUUAUAGAUGGAUCCGCGCCGCAUUAGCUAGUUGGUAAGGUAACGGCUUACCAAGGCAACGAUGCGUAGCCGACCUGAGAGGAUGAUCGGCCACACUGGAACUGAGACACGGUCCAGACUCCUACGGGAGGCAGCAGUAGGGAAUCUUCCGCAAUGGGCGAAAGCCUGACGCAGCAACGCCGCGUGAGUGAUGAAGGUCUUCGGAUCGUAAAACUCUGUUAUUAGGGAAGAACAAAUGUGUAAGUAUCUAUGGACGUCUUGACGGUACCUAAUCAGAAAGCAACGGCUAACUACGUG
rnacentral:rRNA from 1 species